AGUCAGGAAUUUAGCAUCAGCCAAAGCCCAGAAAACAGGCUUCCAGGGAGGCCUUGUCUCCCUGAUCCAUAAACUUUCAGGUUAUGACCUGUGGGGUCAGCAUGACAAAUAGAACACGGGGUGAGUUUUCUCUGCCCUUGAUUAUGUUCCCGGCUUUGUGCCUGCCUGUCCGAAAUGGCAGCUACCCCAGAGAGAAGAAAAACAGAAGGCUGGCUUUUUCUUUAAAGAAAAAGCUGUCCCGAAAGCCUGCAUAAAGGCCUUUCUCCAGCUAGCUUUGGGAGCCAGGUCAGAAGGAAGGUUUUCUUGUGACUUAAAAUUCACUGUGAUCAUUUUUAACUUCUGGCUACAAUGAACUAAAAUCCCUACCAGUUUUGGAAGCUUACCCAUCACCUCUCUCUAAAAUGCUGUGUGACUAAAUCUAAGACUAUGGUCAGAAUCCAUUUUAGCCUGAUAUGUGUCACGUACGCAUUGCAUCUGUGGACAUUCAGCCGACACCGAUAAGCAUGCAAUUAUCAAGCAUAUCCAAGCUGGAACAAGAAUUGGUGCUCUGUUUUCCUGGGUGCAUAAUAUUUCAUAGUAAAAAGACCCUGAUUAUUUACCUGCUCAUCGAUUGAUUGGCAUAUCUCUGAGUCUUGAGUGGAGUUGAGUGACAAAGAGCCGCCCUCAGGACUGAGUGCUUCUAAACUCCCAUUCUCUGCACAUCAUCCGGCUGUGGGCCUCUGUAUUGAUCUACUGCAGGAGGGAAUAGCUCUGCUGAGGACUAAGCAACGCUCUGAUCUACAGCAGGUGACACAGAGCAAAGGACUGUGGCCAUAAAUAGAGCUCCCUCUGCAGCUGCCUAGAGUCAACAAAUGGACAUCAACUCCACCUGAGUCCCGUGAGGAGAGAAGAGGAACGAAGGCACAUGGGUCGCCACUCACGACUGGAACCCAAACUCAAGUGCAGCGCUAGGAACUUUAAACAAAUCAGAAUCCCAAGGGGUCCCAGCUUUCGUCGUUUGCUUCACUUGCUUUGAAUAAGACACAGAAGAGUCUACAACUUCUUCCAUUAAUCUGUCACAGCAUCCUAAGCUAGAGCAAAACGAAGAUGCUUUCACGUCACCUGCUGAUCCUAUGAGGACCUUUGUUGACUUCAGUCUCUGAAACAUCUUUGGCUGAAACAUAGAGAAAAUUCAGGAGGAACCCAAAAAUCUAAAUUCCAAGUUCCGUUGCCUAAAACAUCUACACAAACCUUCCACCUUGUGACUUUUUUUUUUAUGUUGACACCUGCAUAACCAGAGAAUGACAAGGUAUAAACAAUUCAAAUGUGACAGUUGUGUCGUUUCGGGGGAGAAUGACAGAAAAGAAGCAUAUAGUAAAAAUUAUCAAUUACUACUUUGGAAAGGUAAGCUCGGCAAGUCUGGCCCUUCCUGGCAUGGAGAGAUGUCAUUUCUCAGUUGUGAAUGGUCGCCGUGAGUCAGCUGCAGGGCAGAUGAGAAGGCACUGGAGCUGGCAGGGAGCGGCAAGCAAUUAUUGGUUCAAUCUCCUGUGAGCACUACACCUCCCCAUCAGAAUAAAUGGUGGGCAGGUACCACUUCCACCAACGCUCCCUCCGAUAAAGACCCACAACACUGCUCGACCUCCAGCAGACGUCGGCAACCUUUCCGCACUCCAGGCUUAUCUGCUCUGUUACAGGACGCCAUUCCCAUUUGUUCCAUUCUCUGCACACAGCAAAUGCCCGCUCGAUAUCUUCUUUAACAGAAGCCGCCGUAGCUUGAAAAGGAAAUGUAUCUCUGAAGGCUAGUUCCUGCAAUAAAAUGUUUACACUUUCUCAAAA